rnacentral:rRNA from 1 species
GAAAUCCCAGAGCUUAACUCUGGAACUGCCAUCAAAACUUUUUAGCUAGAGUAUGAUAGAGGAAAGCAGAAUUUCUAGUGUAGAGGUGAAAUUCGUAGAUAUUAGAAAGAAUACCAAUUGCGAAGGCAGCUUUCUGGAUCAUUACUGACGCUGAGGAACGAAAGCAUGGGUAGCGAAGAGGAUUAGAUACCCUCGUAGUCCAUGCCGUAAACGAUGUGUGUUAGACGUUGGAAAUUUAUUUUCAGUGUCGCAGCGAAAGCAUUAAACACACCGCCUGGGGAGUACGACCGCAAGGUUAAAACUCAAAUGAAUUGACGGGGACCCGCACAAGUAGUGGAGCAUGUGGUUUAAUUCGAAGAUACGCGCAGAACCUUACCAACACUUGACAUGUUCGUCGCGACUCUAAGAGAUUAGAGUUUUCGGUUCGGCCGGACGAAACACAGGUGCUGCAUGGCUGUCGUCAGCUCGUGUCGUGAGAUGUUGGGUUAAGUCCCGCAACGAGCGCAACCCUCACUUUUAGUUGCCAUCAUUUAGUUGGGCACUCUGAAAGAACUGCCAGUGAUAAGCUGGAGGAAGGUGGGGAUGACGUCAAGUCCUCAUGGCCCUUACGUGUUGGGCUACACACGUGCUACAAUGGCAUUUACAAUAGGAAGCAAGAUGGCGACAUCAAGCAAAUCCUAAAAAGAUGCCUCAGUUCGGAUUGUACUCUGCAACUCGAGUACAUGAAGCUGGAAUUACUAGUAAUCGCGGAUCAGCGCGCCGCGGUGGAUACGUUCCCGGGUCUUGUACACACCGCCCGUCACACCAUGGGAGUUGGUUCUACCUUAAGGCAAGGUUUUAAACCCUUGACUACGGUAUAGUCAGCGACUGGGGUGAAGUCGUAACAAGGUAAC